UGUCGAUCUAUGAAGUUCAUCCGAAUUCGCGCGGCUACGGGACGAGUUUGGGCCGUAAAAGUGGAAUUUGAUGCGAAAGCAAUGGCAGCGGGUGAGAUCAAGGUUGAAAUUCCCCGAGUUGCUAAGCGCUGGAGUUAGUGAAAACAUUGUGCGUUUUGAGAAGUUAAGUGGUAUUUAGAAACGUGUGACGAGUUGAAAAUUUAUGGAUGGGCGGCGUUACAGAUCAUCCGGAAACUGUGACGACGAAUUAGUCGUGCGAAGUUAAUGAGGCUAACAGGACUGGAGCAUCUGGAAUUUGAGUAUUCGGAAUCGGCGGAUCGAACAUCAUUUAUUGCGUAGAUUUUCGAAAAGUAUUUCUGCAGGCGGACAUUAUUUCACAGAGUACGGUUUUCAGGCUGCCAGAUCCUCAAAGGCCCAAUAGUAUAGAUGAUUUUGCACGAGAACAGGAAACCAUUCAGACAGAUCAUUGUGGAAAGUCUUGUGCUCAAACAAGUCAUUGAGCUCAAAAAAUCUUGUACGGCUGGUGGUGGGGUUUGAAGGUCAUGAGCGUGUGGAUGUACCUUAAAAUGCAGUAUUCCCCACUAGUAUAUACAAUAAAAAGCAAUGCAUCAAGAAAUUCUUAUUGAGGGUAGUGAAGGCAAAUGAUUUCCAUAAAACAAUCAUGUGUUAAGACCAAUCAGGGUUUUUGUUUGAGCUCAUAGGGAGUGUCUCAGUUAUUUAUACAGUAUUUUAAAUGUGGAACAAAACACCUGAAGGUGUAAUCCGCUACUACUUGAGGACGUUGCCGCCGCCACAAUGCUAAAAGAUGCUCGUCGGAACAAUCGAUUGCUACUGUUAAUUCAACGUAUGAGGAGAAGACUACAUCUGGAUGCCGAAAAAUGUUCGCGGAGCUGUCAGUUGUUGCGUCUGCUAUUGGAAAUAAUUUUAAUCAUCAAAUUCGAUAAGUUUUUUUACCUUUAUAUCUAUUUUGACUUAUUAAAUUUCCACAUUGUAUGUAAAUGCAUAAAUUUGAAGUGCUUGAUCAAAAUAGGAUAAUUAAUCCAAUGAAAUAUUGGCAAUGA